GGCGGUUGUUGUGGUGGACAACAUGGCAAUGGACAGAUUUUCAUACAGUGGUGGAUACAAACAGGUGCACACGGUGCGGGUGGUGCCGGCAAUCCAGGACACCCUGGAUCACCAGGAGGACCCAUACAGCCUGGCGAACCAGGUGGGCCAAGUGGGCCCAAACAUCCAGGUUCACCGGGACAACCGGGGGGUCCUGGUAAACCAGGUGGCCCUGCACAACACCUGGGGGUACAGGAAGGUGCACAGGAUUGUGGGCAUGGGUCAGGGCACAUUGGAACUGGAGGAGCUAUAGGUAAGGGGGUACAGCAAUCUGGAGUGCACGUCGGAGAACAUGAAGAUGGACAUCCUUCACCACAAUAGCUUCGCUUUUCUCCUUAAAACAUUAAAAAA